UAGAAGGAAUGUCCUAUGUUAGGUUCAGG
rnacentral:piRNA from 1 species